GACGAACGCUGGCGGCGUGCCUAACACAUGCAAGUCGAACGAGGUCCAUCCUUCGGGAGAAGACCUAGUGGCGAACGGGUGAGUAACACGUGAAGAACCUGCCCCGAAGACCGGGAUAACCCUCCGAAAGGAGAGCUAAUACCGGAUACCCCCACCGAACCGCAUGGUUUGGUGAGGAAAUGGAUUCCGCUUCGGGAGGGCUUCGCGGCCUAUCAGCUAGUUGGUGGGGGUAACGGCCCACCAAGGCAUCGACGGGUAGCUGGUCUGAGAGGACGAUCAGCCACACUGGGACUGAGACACGGCCCAGACUCCUACGGGAGGCAGCAGUGGGGAAUCUUGCGCAAUGGGCGAAAGCCUGACGCAGCAACGCCGCGUGGGGGAUGAAGGGCUCUCGGGGUUGUAAACCCCGUUUUCAGCAGGGACGAAUCAAGACGGUACCUGCAGAAGAAGCCCCGGCUAACUACGU
rnacentral:rRNA from 1 species